CCCGGCCCGGGGGGGGAAUUCCCAGCAAAGGAGGGGGAAUUCCCAUUCAGAGGGUGUCUGGGAUGCUCCUGUUCCCUUGGGAGCAUCCCAAGGUAAUUCCCAUCUGAGGGUGUCCAGGAUGCCCCAAUUCCCAAGAUAAUUCCUAUCCAAGGGUGUCCGGGAUGCCCUGAUUCCCUUGGGAACAUCCCAAGGUAAUUCCCAUCCCAGGGGGUCCAGGAUACCCCAAUUCCCUUGGGAUCAUCCCGAGGUAAUUCCCAUCCAACAGUGUCCAGGACGCCCCAAUUCCCUUGGGAGCUGCUCCCAAGGUAAUUCCCAUCUGAGGGUGUCCAGGAUGCCCCAAUUCCUGAGGUAAUUCCCAUCCCAAGGGGUCCAAGAUGCCCCAAUUCCCUUGGGAGCAUCCCGAGGUAAUUCCCAUCCCCCAGUUCCCUUGGGAGCAUCCCAAGGUAAUUCCCAUCUAAAGGUGUCUGGGAUGCUCCUGUUCCCUUGGGAGCAUCCCAAGGUAAUUCCCAUCCAAGGGGGUCCAAAAUGUCCCAAUUCCUGAGGUAAUUCCCAUCCCAGGGGGUCCAGGAUGCCCCAAUUCCCUUGGGAGCAUCCCGAGAUAAUUCCCACCUGAGGGGGUCCAAGAUUCCCCGAUUCCCUUGGAAUCAUCCCAAGGUAAUUCCCAUCCCAGGGUGUCCAGGAUGCCCCGAUUCCCUUGGGAUCAUCCCGAGGUAAUUCCCAUCCCAGGGGUUCCAAGAUGCCCCAAUUCCCUUGGGAUCAUCCCGAGGUAAUUCCCAAUCCAAGGUGUCCAGGAUACCCCAAUUCCCUUGGGAGCAUCCCAAGCUAAUUCCCACCCAAGGAGGUCCAAGAUUCCCUGAUUCCCUUGGGAUCAUCCCGAGGUAAUUCCCAUCUGAGGGGGUCCAAAAUGCCCCAAUUCCUGAGGUAAUUCCUAUCCAAGGGUGUCCAGGAUGCCCUGAUUCCCUUGGGAACAUCCCAAGGUAAUUCCCAUCCCAGGGGGUCCAGGAUGCCCCAAUUCCCUUGGGAACAUCCCAUUCCCUUGGGAACAUCCCUUGGGAACAGUUUGUCUAAUCAAGGCCAUCAAUUAGUCCCCGCCUGACUAAUUGCUCGGCUCCGGGGCAGAAUUGGCCUGGAAUUGCUCGGGAAUUGUUCGGGAAUUGCUCGGGAAUUGCUCGGGAAUUGUGGUGCCCUUUCCCCCCCAGGGCCCCACCCAAGGGUUAAAGGGCAGUUUCCUUGGAAUGUUUCCUUGGAAUGUCUCCCAAAGGGAACUGGAGGAGGAGGAGGAGGAGACCCUGGGAAUUUUAACCCUUUCCUGGGUUCCUGCUGGGAAUGGUUUUGGGAAGAGGGGGAAGUGUCCUGGGAUGGGAUCGGCCUUAAAAACGUGGGAAAUAAAUCAAUUUAAAUUGGAAUGUGGGAGCAGGUCCUGGGCUGGGCAGUUUGGCCUUAAAUAGGUGGGAAAAAUGGGAAAUAAAUCAAUUUAAAUUGGAAUGUGGGAGCAGGUCCUGGGAUGGGCAGUUUGGCCUUAAA